rnacentral:rRNA from 1 species
CAGCAGCCGCGGUAAUACAGAGGGUGCGAGCGUUAAUCGGAAUUACUGGGCGUAAAGCGCGCGUAGGUGGUUUGGUAAGAUGGAUGUGAAAUCCCCGGGCUCAACCUGGGAACUGCAUCCAUAACUGCCUGACUAGAGUACGGUAGAGGGUGGUGGAAUUUCCUGUGUAGCGGUGAAAUGCGUAGAUAUAGGAAGGAACACCAGUGGCGAAGGCGACCACCUGGACUGAUACUGACACUGAGGUGCGAAAGCGUGGGGAGCAAACAGGAUUAGAUACCCCUGUAGUCCCUGUCUCUUAUAC